GACGAACGCUGGCGGCGUGCUUAACACAUGCAAGUCGAGCGGUAAGGCCCUUUCGGGGGUACACGAGCGGCGAACGGGUGAGUAACACGUGGGUGACCUGCCCUCAGCUCUGGGAUAAGCCUGGGAAACCGGGUCUAAUACUGGAUAUGACUCCAUGACGCAUGUUGUGGGGUGGAAAGCCUUGUGCGGCUGAGGAUGGGCCCGCGGCCUAUCAGCUUGUUGGUGGGGUGAUGGCCUACCAAGGCGACGACGGGUAGCCGGCCUGAGAGGGCGACCGGCCACACUGGGACUGAGACACGGCCCAGACUUCUACGGGAGGCAGCAGUGGGGAAUCUUGCGCAAUGGGCGAAAGCCUGACGCAGCGACGCCGCGUGAGGGAUGACGGCCUCGG
rnacentral:rRNA from 1 species